UACGUAGGGUGCAAGCGUUGUCCGGAAUUAUUGGGCGUAAAGAGCUCGUAGGCGGUCUGUUACGUCGGCUGUGAAAACCUGGGGCUCAACCCCCGGGCCUGCAACCGAUACGGGCAGACUAGAAUUCGGUAGGGGAGACUGGAAUUCCUGGUGUAGCGGUGGAAUGCGCAGAUAUCAGGAGGAACACCGGUGGCGAAGGCGGGUCUCUGGG
rnacentral:rRNA from 1 species